GAUGAACGCUGGCGGCGUGCUUAACACAUGCAAGUCGAACGGAAAGGCCCAAGCUUGCUUGGGUACUCGAGUGGCGAACGGGUGAGUAACACGUGGGUGAUCUGCCCUGCACUUCGGGAUAAGCCUGGGAAACUGGGUCUAAUACCGGAUAGGACCACUUCUUGGAUGUUGUGGUGGAAAGUUUUUUCGGUGUGGGAUGAGCUCGCGGCCUAUCAGCUUGUUGGUGGGGUAAUGGCCUACCAAGGCGUCGACGGGUAGCCGGCCUGAGAGGGUGUACGGCCACAUUGGGACUGAGAUACGGCCCAGACUCCAACGGGAGGCAGCAGUGGGGAAUAUUGCACAAUGGGCGCAAGCCUGAUGCAGCGACGCCGCGUGGGGGAUGACGGACUUCGGGUUGUAAACUCCUUUCGCUAGGGACGAAGCGUUUUGUGACGGUACCUGGAGAAGAAGCACCGGCUAACUACGUG
rnacentral:rRNA from 1 species